rnacentral:rRNA from 1 species
AUUGAACGCUGGCGGCAGGCCUAACACAUGCAAGUCGAACGGUAACAGGAAACAGCUUGCUGUUUCGCUGACGAGUGGCGGACGGGUGAGUAAUGUCUGGGAAACUGCCUGAUGGAGGGGGAUAACUACUGGAAACGGUAGCUAAUACCGCAUAACGUCGCAAGACCAAAGAGGGGGACCCUCGGGCCUCUUGCCAUCGGAUGUGCCCAGAUGGGAUUAGCUUGUUGGUGGGGUAACGGCUCACCAAGGCGACGAUCCCUAGCUGGUCUGAGAGGAUGACCAGCCACACUGGAAGUGAGACACGGUCCAGACACCUGCGGGAGGCCGCAGUCGGGAAUCUUGCGCAAUGGGGGAGAGCCUGAUGCAGCACUGCCGCGUGUAUGCAGAAGGAGUUCGGGUUGUAAAGUACUGACGGCGGGGGGGAAGUGAGUAAAGUUCGUACCUAUGCACAUUGACGUUACCCGCAGAAGAAGCACCGGCUAACUCCGUG